UAGGGAAUCUUCGGCAAUGGACGGAAGUCUGACCGAGCAACGCCGCGUGAGUGAAGAAGGUUUUCGGAUCGUAAAGCUCUGUUGUAAGAGAAGAACGAGUGUGAGAGUGGAAAGUUCACACUGUGACGGUAUCUUACCAGAAAGGGACGGCUAACUACGUGCCAGUAGCCGCGGUAAUACGUAGGUCCCGAGCGUUGUCCGGAUUUAUUGGGCGUAAAGCGAGCGCAGGCGGUUAGAUAAGUCUGAAGUUAAAGGCUGUGGCUUAACCAUAGUAGGCUUUGGAAACUGUUUAACUUGAGUGCAAGAGGGGAGAGUGGAAUUCCAUGUGUAGCGGUGAAAUGCGUAGAUAUAUGGAGGAACACCGGUGGCGAAAGCGGCUCUCUGGCUUGUAACUGACGCUGAGGCUCGAAAGCGUGGGGAGCAAACAGGAUUAGAUACCCUGGUAGUCCACGCUGUAAACGAUGAGUGCUAGGUGUUAGACCCUUUCCGGGGUUUAGUGCCGUAGCUAACGCAUUAAGCACUCCGCCUGGGGAGUACGACCGCAAGGUUG
rnacentral:rRNA from 1 species